rnacentral:lncRNA from 1 species
CCUCCGCUUCCUUCCCGUGGCUUCUGGAGUCUUCUAAAUGUAAGAUAAUUGCGCGGCACGUUAAUAUCUCUAUGUAAUCCUGACGUGUGGGUCUUUCUUCCGUAUUUCCUGAUAACCCCCUGCAGAAAUAGACAAACACCAAAACUCGUGGAAUUCUGUCAGAUAAAACCCAAAGUCUAGAUGUUGAUUUCAUUUGGAUCCUUUUCUUUGUUUAUUUGAUAAUUAAAUUUGAUACUUAAGGACCGUCAACAAUUACUAGAGCAUGAUGACACAUAUGGUAGAAGGUAGAUGAAUUUCAAUGGUCUUUUCCUUCAUUGCAUCUUGAGUUGUUUCUUAGCAUCUUGUCUCAUAUGUUGUACUCCUUUCUCACACUUUGAGACUUCUGCUUCUCUUAUUAUUUUUUCUCUGCAAGGUAUUAGUAGACAACACAUACCCAAAAGAAUAUACUAUUUAUUUAAAGUAUGGAUAGUGUUUUCCAAGGAGUUAAUGAUUAAAUCAUAGCCCAUAUUUUAAAUAAUUCACCAUUAUUUCAAAUUUUUCAAACAAGGUUCAGGCAAAGAUAUAAAUUUAAAGAAUAACUCAAACCUUGAUUUGAAUCUAUGAUUUAAACAUUUUUAUACUGGAGAGGAUCAAUAGUCUAUAUAUACAAAAAAAAUUCUUAUAUAAAUAUACUUUGAUGUUAUAUGUUUAAGUGAUAUUCUGAAGCAUACUUAUAAUAGAGUAAGGAAGUUCAAAAGACUGAUAUUUUAUUCAAAUAGAACCAAGAAUAUAUAGGUGAACCAAAAGUGAGUUUUAUUUAUUUUAUGUUUUAGCAAAUUAAUCAUAACAUAAGGUAUGGAUAACCAAGACAAUUAACAACAUGGUAUAAGAUGUCGAAUAUAAUUUAAAGUUGCAUGAAGCUUGGAUAAAUGCACCUUAUGUCUUGCAGGGUGAUUGGUCUACUAUCAUGGUGAAGUGUAGAAGGUGUUGGAGUCUUCUUUCAUCUAUUUCUUUUUAUCUUAGUCCUUUCUAUACACUUGUUAUCCUUCCUUUUCAUUUUGAAUCAUAAUGAAACAUUUAUUCUUUCUUUGUUGCAUAAAUGUUAGUGGACAUAUACCCGAAGGAUUGCAACAAGUUUGAAAUAUAGGUUAUGGUCCAUAUAAUUUCAUCUAUGCUAAUGAAAGGAUGGACUUUUAGGAUUACUUUAGCAUAGAUUUCUUCUAACAAAUUUUUUUGAUGGCUAUACUUUUAUAUGGUUCAAGGCAAAGGUAACUUGCAACAAAGGAUUAAGAGAAUAAAUUUCGAUACUUAUAACCCUUCCAUGGAGAAUGAGUUGUGUCUUCGUUUUGUGCAAAGUUAUUGGACUUUAUCACAUGCCUUGAUUCAUCUCUGACGUAAGUUCAUCUCUUGACUUACCCAAAUUGAAUUUAAGAGUUUCCUAUAGGGGUUAGUCCAAUAAAAUAACCAAUGUCUACUACAAUAAUUUCUAGUUCAAUAACCAAACCAAACUCUAUGUCUAAUGUGUUUAUGGUAGGCUGCUUAACCUAAGCACCACGCUUAAUUUAGAGGCAUAUGAAAGUAUGUACAGUACUUCCAAACCAAAGCAUACUAUAGCAAACAAAUAUAGCAUGAAAGCACAUAGAGAUAUACUCAAAUAGAGAUGAAAGCAUGAUCAUGCAAGGUGAGAAUGUUUUUUUAAGUAGAGAUGCAAGUGGCAUGUAUGUAUGUAAGGAACUAAACUUGUUGUGGAAUUGAUAUGAGAUAGAGUAUAUGUAUGGAUUAUUCAAAGUAAACAUGUAGUGGAAUGCAAUAGAAUAACUACUCAUAAGGUUUAAAGCCCACGAGUAAGACUAUCUCACCUUGAUCACACUUACCAUGAUGCACAACUGGGAUGAGUGGCGUAGCUUAAAUAUCUGUCACAUGUGAUGGGGGUUGUAUUCUUGUGACGACGACCUUUUCUCCAAUCUACACAUGGUUAGAAUAAAUAAUAUAUAUGUGUAUACACAAACCUGUGAGAUGGUAGGAUUCCAGAAUGAUGGAUCUUCAAUGUUCAAGCACACUGGGUUCUUCAAUCUUAUGGAAUCUUAUGUCCUGUCUAUUCCACACUCAAUAGAACAAAGGGGUAAUCCUACUAAAGCUAGUGGUACACGAAAUUAGUAGACAUCAAGAUCAUUAUUAGAAUCUUUUUGCCAAUUGCUUCUCCGGCAACGACACCAAAAAAAGCUUGCUGGUAUUUCUUAUUCACAGUUAAAAUAUGAAGGAUUCCGCAAGCGCACAAAAAAAGAUUGUAGCAUUUUACUGGGAGUAUUCCAGUUAUCGUUAUUUAUAUUUUACCACUGGGAAACAAUGGAUAAAGAUAUUGAUAGUUCACCAUCAUGUAUCUACUAACUAAUACAUUAACUAGACUAAAGUAGGUGUAAAUAAUAGAUGAUAGGAAUUAUGCAUAUAUGACACACACCGGAGAAUUCUAUGAUAAAAGAGUAGUGUAACAUCAAAAAUUUGAUUUUCAAUUAAUAGGAUUUAAUUUGGUUUAUACAAGUAUUUUUGUGAGCAUUUAAUAUAGUAAAUAAAUAUUUUUUUGCUGAGAUUAAAAGUUAUCAUAAGUUUAGUAACAUGUCCUUGCAUUCAUGCUGGGCAUAAUUUUGUUAUGUGCUGUGUGGUUUAGUUUGAUUCCAGAUUUGAAUUCAUUCUCUAUUUGAAAACGCUUUGGAAAAUAAAAUAGAAAAUGAAAAAAAGGGAGAGCCACCUGCUCUCGGCCUGAUGACCAAAUUGGCUGAGGCCCAAAACCCCCCUAACCCAUCUUCCUCUCUCCUCGGCCCAGCCAACCAGGCCAAGGCCCAAGCGCGCGCAUCCCUCCCCUCCCGCUUUCUUUCGCUGGCAGCUGGGCCCCACCCGUCGGUGCUUCCCCUCUCUCUUCCUAUCUCACUGCCGCACUGGCCCCACGCGUCAGCUCUCCCUCGUCUCCCUCUUCUUCUCUGGAGGCACCCAAGCUGGACUCAAACAUGGAGCCUACCAAAUCCCGAACUUCCCGGAUUUCAUUGUGAAGAGGUGUUACCGAGCCCUAUAAAGCUCCCAAAUCGACCCCCACGAGACCUUUUUCCCAUCUACUCACUAUAAGCAUGCCCUAGCCGCCGUUUGCAUUGAGUUUUGUAUCUCACCAGAGUUUCCUUACGCCGUCGUGCAUAGCCACAUCUCUACGAGCCUUCUCCGACCGUAAGAACACCCUUGGUGAGCUCCCCACUUUCUUCUCCUCCCUCCUGUUGACGGUCCUUAAUGCUCACAUUUAACCGUCAACUAAUCAUGAAAAAGGAUAAAAAUGCAACUGACACCUAGACUUAGGCUUUCAUUUGACAGAUUUCCACGAGUUUUGGUAUUUGUCUAUUUCUGCAGGGGGUUACCAGGAAAUACGAAGGAAAGGCCCACACGUCGGGUUUACAUAGAGAAUUAAUGUGUGCGGUAAUUUUCCAUAAUCAGGAAGACUCUAGAAGCAACUCGACUGAAGCGGAGCCGAGACGGGCCUGGGGCCAGGGCGCCCGCCCUGGUACAAGCACCAAUCACAGAAUGGAGUACACCAUUACAGAGAUCUCGUCGAGCUGAUCGAAAUGGAUAUAUUAUUUGCUAUAUUUGGAGUUCAGAAUCAAGAGAUAUUAAUAAAAGAAGGACUCCGCAUAAAAGAGCUACAGGAUUAAUUGGGCCAAAAUCAGAUUUUGGUCCAUUAAGGCAUAUGUGCAUUUUAAUGAGAUAUGGUGGAAAGUUUAGUACCACAUCGCCUGCUGAACCAAAAAGGCACAAAGGAGAAGGCUAUAUAAGCAAGGCCCCUGGCCCCAGGAGAAGAAUACAUCAUUAUAGAGUUGAGAGGUGCCCUCCAAAGAUAACCUUUCCUCUAUAGAGAAUUGGGGCUAGACAUUCCAAUGUAGUAGAUAAGUUCUAGUCGGGAGUUAGGGAGAGCGGAGUUGCGCUUCAGUUCUGGAGAAGUCUUUGGUAUGUCUUUAUAUUUAUUGUAAGACUUAUGCUUUAAUAUAUUUAUCUUCUCUAUUUACUUUUAUGCCUUUAUUAUUAUCGAGUAGUGUAGUUGUUAUAUUUUGGCAUAGGAUCUCCGUUCGCAUCGAGUGCUCUAGUUAUUCAUGGUAAUUAGAGUAGUAAUCAUUAGUGUAGACGCGGUGUCUAUACUAGAGGUUACCUGAGCUUGCACCUAGUCCUAUGGAUUGUUGUGGUACCCUAGGGUAGUGACAGCCCUAACGGUCGACGUAUUCCACCUCGUUCGGAUCGGUGUUUGUAGGACCGUAGUCAGAGCUUCCCAGCCCCCUUCCAGUUCUGUUUCUGUGGUUGGUGUUCUAAUAUCCCAAAGUGCUAAUAUGUGAUUGCUAUAUCUAUUCAUUCUUUGUUAUCAUAGAACUGAAGUAAUAGAGAAGUAUACUGGAACCUAGGUCUCUCCCAUUGUCCUCCCGCUAUGGCUAUUUACGCAUUUAUCAUAGAAUUCUCACCUUUAUAUUAUUACCUAUCAUAUAUCAUUUACCCCUACUUUAGUCUAGUUGGUUUAUUAAAUUAGUAGAUGCAUGAUAGUAAGUUAUCAGAUUCUUUGACCUUAGCUUCCCAGUGGUAAAAUAUAAAUAACGAUACCUGGAAUACUUCCGGUAAAAUGCUACGAUGAUGUUCUGUGCGCUUGCGGAAUUUUUCUUAUUCUUAUUGCACUUAACGAAUGUCAACAAGCAAUUUUGGCGCCGUUGCCGGGGAAGCAAUUGGUGUGAAGAUUUUGAUAAUGAUCUUGUGUAACACCCUAAAUUUUGCUCUUUUGGAAAUAGAGGAGAAAUAAGUAAUUAUACAUUUCAUUGUGCUCAUGAAACAUAGGGAAAAUAAUAUUUUUCAUUAAAUUAAAAUUUAUCAUAAGGCUUAGCAACAUUGUUGUGCAUACAUGUUGUGGCAUAAGAUUUGAUGUAAUGUUUGAUUGUUGCUCCUUUGUGUGUUGAGAGUAAGCAAAGUUUUUAAAAUUGCGUUAAGUAGAACGAUCUUCCUUGGUCGGUACAUCUUUAUCUUUAUCUACAUCUAAAUUCUUUAUUCCUCAGCUCAAGUUUUUAUUAGGAGCUUUCUAAAAUCUUUUCUUUGUCACCCAACUCACUCAUUUCAGUUCCUCGUUCAUAAAACAAUAUCUACAAUCUUAUUGGGAAUUUUUCUACCUUUUUCUCAAAUUUGCUUCCACUUGUUUGUGAGCAUAAUCUAAUUUUUAGAUGCUCCAAUUUAUCUCAUCAUGACCUCCAAAUAUUUUAUUCGGGUUCCUCAUAUUCCAUAAUGUCUCUGAGAAUUUUCCUCAAAUUUUUGGAGCUUUCGGAGUAUUUUUCGUGGCUUAAAUAAUAAUUCUGGAUUUUUCUACAAUUAUUUUAUCCAUGAAAUUAAUUAAUCCCAAAAAUAAUAAAUCUCUCAUUUUUCUCAACGCUCAAGGCCCAUGUCUUUAUUUAUUAAUGGGCUUUAAUAAUUAAUUAGGCCUAUUAGUAAAGAUAAAGGGUGUAAAUCAAUUAGUACCAUAUCGCUAGUUGACGUGGAGGUGUGGAGUUUUUCUUCCUAUAUAUAUAUAUGUACCAACCCCUUAGACAAAGCACACCAAAGACUACUAUAUGGGAAGCCUCUAAUUUGAGAAUUCCUAAGAUAGUAAAAUAAAAUUAUAUUUUCUUCUCUACAACGUGAUCGCCCUCAGUCUGGUGUCGAUCCGUCCGUCGCCUUGCUUUCCAUCUCCGCUUCGUACCUAUCUGCGAAAUCUCUAUUGGUGAGUUUAUUUUUCCCGCACCAAAUCGUGGCCGUAGGCUUAAGUUUCAUGCUCGCCGGCUAGGAGCUCGCUGCUGCCAAUGGCUGGCCGCCAGGCGUGUGCUCUGCUCCAAUUAGUUUACCUUGGUUUCUAAAUCAAAAUACGUUUUCAGUAAUUACAAAAUUGCCACCAGAUUUGUUGAGCUCAUAAAAUCUUCAUUUUAACUCCGAUUUGAUCCAUUCAAAUUGCGUUAGAUUCGUAAUCACAAGAUCUACAUGUUAGUCUCACUGUUUUACAAGUUUACAACUUUUUAUUUUUGUGAUCCUAUUUAAUUAAUUAUUUAUUAAAGGAAAUCUUAGAAAAUUCAUAUCUUUUUCGUUAUAUCUCCGAUUUUCGUGGUCUUUAUGUCUAUGUGAUCGUAGUGCAACGUAGAUUCAUUUUUAUAAAAUUUUCAUCUUUAUUUUCUACUGUUGGUAUAUUGUUCUAAUUAUAGGUUUGUUUGCUUUGUAUGACUGUCUCUGGAUGAUUGUUGUUGAUGUUAUGACUGAGUUUAGACGGUGAGCUUUUACGUGGUGAUCAAGAAGCAGUUUAUGGAAGGUUUGGAACUAAAAGAAAUAUCUGAAUUUUAAGGCAAGUAUAACAUGGGAUCAUCCUUGUUUCCUAAUAACUUUAAUCACACAAUUCAUAUUGCAUGUGUCUCUUUGCUAAGGAUUUCCUAGUAUUAAUCUUAAACCUUGUCAGCUAUGGUUUUGCAUUGGGUAGCUUAUGCUAGUGCUCCACUAAACCAUGAUCUUGUAAUUUGAGUAAUGGAAUAUGCAAUAAACAUUAAAAGAGGACUUUUUAGCAACUUUGGUAAAGAGGGCUGGAGCAUUGGGCUAUCUUAUGGUGCUCUAGUUUCUCUCCAUAAGGACUUAUCUGUAUCUGACCAUCCGGGACAUACAGUACAACUUUGAGGGCUAGAUGGCUCUGGCUUUAGCUCAGUAUGAGGACCCUUUCUAGCUUGUUAGUGGUUACCCUUGUGGCGCAAAUGGGGAAUAGCAAACCAUGGAUUCCAGCGGGUGAAUCACGUGGACUGACUAAUGAAACCAAGCGGCCCUAACUUGUUAAACGAACCUUUGAAAGGCUUCAUAGUGAACCCUGCCAACCUCCCUAGGAAGGGGGUUAAGAGAUUAGCUACCUCGGGUGAAAGGGUAAAUCAUGACUCACAGUGAAAGUGUACAACCUCUGCAGAGUGUAAAACUGAUAUAUCAGCCGUGCUCACCGUCACGAGCGGCCUUGGACCAAUACAAAAUAAAUGAUCACUAAUGGCAAUUCAUUAAUGUUAUUAUUGUUAAUAUGUUGUUUAUGCUAUUCUUUAUUCACUUUACUUUGAUCGUGAGUUUACUAUGGGUCUUGACAACUUGAUGCUACUCAUAUGCUAAAAUUGUGACAACUAAAAGCUACAUGCAGUUAAACCAGUGUCUAGCCUUUGAGCCUCAUGAACCCUAUGUUAUUCUUGCUGAGUACGAGAUGUACUUACGCUUACCUUUACAUUUUAUUUGGAUAAAAAUCCCGGAUGGGUACCAGAUUGCUAGUUUGGAGAAGAGUGUAGGCUUGUGCUCAACCAGUUAGUUGUCCCUAGGGAUUUGGAGCUUUCGCCUGAAGAACGGAGUGUCUUUCCGCUGUUUGCUAUCUAAGGUUAUAUCUUUUAUGCUAAGUUCGUUAUAUAUAGCAUUGACUAUUGAUAUUACCCCUUAUUUGUGGCUGUAUGUGAGAUUUGACUUCCUGGGCUCACAUAUGGUGUGUAUCUGGUUUUGUUCUUAAAACUGGGUGCUACAUCUUGAUGUCUGCUAAUUUAAUGUAUCACUAGCUUUACUAGGUUUAUUGUAUUUAUCUUUUCUGCAUUUGUUUUUAGCAUAUUUAUUUUUCAUCAUCAUUUCUCCAUAACAUAUUUAUCUUGCUGCAUUAUUAUUGCAUUAGGAAAUAUAAUAAAAAUAUUUUAUAUAACUCAUUGCAUCUUAAAUACUAAAACCCCAUGUGAAUAAAUUGUGUGGUGUGUAAAAGCCCACACGGAUAUUCACCGUGCUGGAAUAAAAAAAUAAAUAAAAGUAAAUAAAAAUGCAUUCAUCCUGUUCCAUUUCCUUUUGCUUCAUAAAAUGAUUAAAACCCAAAAAAUAUAUAUAUUAAGAAAGAGAUCUUGUUGAAACUCUGCUUAGAAAAAGAAUUAAGAAAAAUCUAAAAAGCUUGGACAACUAAGGCUUAAGUGGCCAACUACUAAUGUUUAAUCGGUGCCACAAGUUUUGUUGUCUAUUUGAGUUUAACAUGAUUUAAAGAGAGAAUCCCCAAUGAUCAAGAUAUCUUCAUCAACUUGGAAGCGCUGCAAUGAUCACUGACAUUUUGAAGCUCAAGAAUAUUGAAGAACAUCUGUGUUGUGCGGAUUCAAGAUUAAAGACUAUGUCAACAUUCAGCUUGGGGGAAAGCAAUCCCGUUAUCUUCAUGAUUCAGGCUUGAAGUAAAAGAGUGAAGAAUAACAAAAAGGUAUGUCAAACCAAUCAUCAUGCAACAUUGAAUUAAAUUCAUCCAAACAUGACUAGUUCAAGCUAGGGGGAAUACCUUACACAAAAACAUCCUUUGCCAUGUUGCUAUGUUGGUUGUCCCUACCCUUAAGACAUGCUCAAUUUGUUAAACACUAAUCAUUCUACUUCAUCCCCACUUGAGUAGAUCUCUAUAAUGUUGUCAUGCUACCUUUGUCUAUUCACAAGUAAGUGUUGGUUUGGAAGUACUCGACAUACUUCCAUUGGCAUUUAAAUUAAGCAUGGUGCUUAGGUUAAAUAGCCUUCCUUAAUCCGAUUAGACAUGGAGUCUAGUUUGGUUAUUGAACUAAAAAACUGCUUGUGUAGACACUGGUAUAUUUUGUUGGACUAACCCCUGCAGGAAAAUUUUCAAUAUCGAUUUGAGAAGUCCUGAGAUAAAUUCAGAAUGGAGAUAAAGAGGGAGACACAUGAAGUUUAACAAUUUGCACAAGAAAGACAUAGCUCGUCCAUCAUAGAGAGAUAAUCCAUGAAACGAGACGAAGAGUGGCACGAACAAGAUGCACAACCAUUGAGAAAGAAAAGCUUCCACAAGGUGAUAUUGUACCAUCACUCUUCAAUUAAGGUAACAUCUUAAGGUAUGUGACUGUCACUGUUAUAAGCUUCUCCUUGAUCUGGCAUGCACAUGGAUAAAAAGACAAACAUGUAUGAUUUAUAACUCCAAAAUAACCAACCCAAUUGAUUCAAAAUGUUUAGUCCUUUAAUCUUUGUUCCUGGUACUACCUUCUUGAUCCCACACUCUUAACCAUAUGAGCUAAAAUGUUGCACAUCCGAUCUUUGGAAAAUGAUAGUCAUGUAAAGAAAAAACAUUUACUUAGAUAGAUUAUCUUUCCAUAAGGUUGAGUGAUCUGAUCUAAUAAAUGUUUUAAAUGCUACACUCAUGAUCUUAUCAUCCAUCAACUUUGUCUUGCUCACUAUGCUUAAGGUUAGAGAAGAACAAAUACACUUUUGGAUCUGUUGGUGUUUUCCACCAACAGGACCCAUGCACUUGAUCUCUGCCUUGUCUCUAUGAGCAGGAUACACUUCGAGCAAAACAUGGAGGAGUUUUCCAACUCCCAGACUCUACCAAGUGAAGGAUCUAGAUCUACGAGCACAAACACACUGAGGAGGAUGCUGCCAACGCCGCACUUUGAACUGUUGGGCAAACGAAAAACAUGGGUGACACCGUAUCAAGAGGUGCAGAUGUCAAGGUCCACACCUAACUCAAAUGACGCACCUAAAGAAUAAACACGGUGAGAAGUCUUGUUCAGAAGACUUAAAACAUUGAACCCUCGCCGAAAGGUGAAAUUGGUAGUUAUCCAUAUUUAUCCUUUAUGCAUUCCCUUUUUUUCUUAAAUUAUUUACUUUCCUUAAAUAGCUUGUUAGUAAAUCAUGCUAUCUUGAAAAGAAAAUAAAAAUGUUAAAAACAGUAAGCCCCAUGUGAGUAUUUUAUGCUAACACUUAACCAGUUCCGCAAAGCUUUGUUGUCUAUUUGAGCUCCACAGAAUUCAAGGAUCAAGGAAGACUAGCAGAUGGAGGAUAUCCUAAUCACUAUCAGGGUGCUGCCAACAUUCAAAUACACCUACGCCAUCUGCUAGCUACAUGAGAAGAAAUUACGUUAAAAUCCAGCUUGGGGAGAGCACCCCCAUUUAUCCAGCUAAGUGUUUCUACUCAUAUUUAUACUUUACUCAAAUAAUAAAAAAAAUGCAUAAUCAUAAAAACCCAAUUAAACAUUUUGUGUUUAUAUAUAUCUUUGCUUAGUUUACUAAAUAAAUAAAUAAAGUGUCUAUUCCAAACUGAACUUCAAUGAUAAACUCUUAUAAGGAUAUGAUGAAUAGUUGCUCUACCAAGUACCUAGUUUUCAAAUUUGAGCUCUCUCUCAAGUUUAGGCAUAACUGUUAUAAUUUAAAGCUUGCUCUAAACCAGAAUUUGUGGGAAGAGUACCUGAUCAAAAGUCUUAAGUCGUUAAUAGAUAUGAUAUGGGAAGGUUGAGUUGCUGUUUAUCUAUUCCUAGAGAUGCUAUAAUUCUAGAGAAUUUUAUCUUUGAAAAUCUUUAAAAUGUUGCAUGAUGAGUUCCUGUAUGAUGAGUGUUUAAAAUCCUACCACAGCCAUAUAUACAAGCUUAUUAGACUAUGAACCAUACCUUUACUUUUUACUGCUUAUGAGCUUUGAGUGUGGUCAAGCUGUGUAGACCCUUAGGAGCUUGUCAUGCGGUUAAAAUUAAGAUUCACUUGCACAUUCACUCAUACAUGCUGCUUCUACUCUAGAAGUACGCAUCCACAUACAUCCACUCAUUUUCUUCUCCAGAUUCACCCAAAAUUAUUCUACUCCUAUCCGGGAGAGAAUAGCCAAAAACAUUAUCCUAUCCUUGUUAUUCCCUGUGAAACAAAUGCUCAAGAUAUUUUGGUUACUACCACUUGCUACAUUAUUCCAGGAGGGUGAGUGCUCUAAAAAAAGUGAAUACGAGGAAAUGAAAAGGGGCAAGUGCCCGAAACCUCGAAGAAAAGAAAAAGUGAGACGAGAGGUAAAAAUGGACAAGUGUCCGACAAUAGAAUUAGGGGUACAAGAUACCCACCUGAGAGAAAAGAAAAAAGAAAAUAUAGAGCAUCUUAUUCCCCUCAAAAAGCUUCAAAGUGCAAGAAAGGUAUGUAUCCCCUCAAAAGAGCAAACGUAGAAUUAGACUUUGACCAUUAUCACCAUCAUCACCAUACGCCAUUCAUUCGCCACACAUGCACAUCUUGAUUUGACUUAUUGACUUGUUCUUCUGGAUCCAUGGUUUGACUAUGCAAUAAAUGUCUUGUAAGUAUGUAUACUUUAUCUCCCACCUAUGAGCUCCAGAUAUCAAAACCUUAUUAGAGUAGGGUGAGAGAGAAGGCAAUGUCACUAUGCCUCAUACCAAAAAUACGACAUACUUUGAGAGAAGGCAUACACCAUCAUUGCCUUGGUAAGGAUCCAGAAAUACCACAAAAGAGAGACUAGAGAGAGUCAUACAAGGAAUCUCUGAGUUUUAUUUGAAAAUCUGCAAAAACUCCAGAGCUAUAGUUAAUCGAAGAACAAGAGACAUGGCGCUUGACUAGACCGUUCUAUCUUUUAACUGCUCAAGACAUAAGUGACGGUUGCAAGCCCCAUGGUCAAAGGUAAAAUGAGUAAGUUUAAAUCUUAACAGUUUACCCUAACCCAGAGAUGAGAUCUUAUUUGAACGCAUGUGUACCUUUAAGGCAUGAAACCACUGUAGAAACUCUUGACUCCAUCUUUGCUCAGGGACGAGCAAAGGUUAAGCUUGGGGGAGCUUGUUGACGGUCCUUAAUGCUCACAUUUAACCGUCAACUAAUCAUAAAAAAGGAUCCAAAUGCAACUGACACCUAGACAUAGGCUUUCAUCUGACAGAUUUCCACGAGUUUUGGUAUUUGUCUAUUUCUGUAGGGGGUUAUCAGGAAAUACGAAGGAAAGGCCCACACGUCAGGUUUACAUAGAAAAUAAAUGUGUGCGGUAAUUUUCCAUAAUCAGGAAGACUCUAGAAGCAACUCGAUCGAAGCGGAGCCGAGACGGGCCCGGGGCCAGGGUGCCCGCCCUUGAUCCUAGGGCGCCCGCCCUGGUACAAGCACCGAUCACAGAAUGGAGUACACCAUUACAAAGAUCUCGCCGAGCUGAUCGAAUUGCAUAUAUUAUUUGCUAUAUUUGGAGUUCAGAAUCAAGAGAUAUUAAUAAAAGAAGGACUCCACAUAAAAGAGUUGCGGGAUUAAUUGGGCCCAAAUCAGAUUUUGGUCCAUUAAGGCCUAUGUGCAUUUUAAUAAGAUAUGGUGGAAAGUUUAGUACCACAUCGCCUGCUGAACCAAAAAGGCACAAAGGAGGAGGCUAUAUAAGCAAGGCUCCUGGCCGUUGGAGGAGAAUACAUCAUUAUUGAGUUGAGAGGAGCCCUCGAAGGAUAAUCUAACCUCUAUAGAGAAUUAGGGCUAGACAUUCCAAUGUAGUAGAUUAGUUCUAGUCGGGAGUUAGGGAGAGCAGAGAUUCGCUUCGGUUCUAGAGAAGUCUUCAGAGCUUUGGUAUGUCUUUAUAUUUAUUGUAAGACUUUUGCUUUAAUAUAUUUAUCUUCUCUAUUUACUUUUAUGCCUUUAUUAUUAUCGAGUAGUGUAGUUGUUAUAUUUUGGCAUAGGAUCUCCGUUCACAUCGAGUGCUCUAGUUAUUCAUGGUAAUUAGAGUAGUAAUCAUUAGUGUAGACGUGGUGUCUAUACUAGAGGUUACCUGAGGUUGCACCCAGUCCUGCAGAUUGUUGUGGUAGCCCUAGGGUAGUGACAGCCCUAACGGUCGACGUAUUCCACCUCAUUCGGAUCGAUGUUUGUAGGACCAUAGUCAGAGCUUCCCAGCCCCCUUCCAGUUCUCUUUCUGUGGUUGGUGUUCUAAUGUCCCAAAGUGCUAAUAUGUGAUUGCUAUUUCUAUUCACUCUUUGUGAUCAUAAAAAUGAAGUAAUAGAGAAGUAUACAGGAACCUAGGUCUCUCUCGUUGUCCUCCCGCUAUGGCUAUCUACGCAUUUAUCAUAGAAUUCUCACCUUUAUAUUAUUACCGAUCAUAUAUCAUUUACCCCUACUUUAGUCUAGUUGGUUUAUUAAAUUUAUAUAUGCAUGAUAGUAAGUUAUCAGAUUCUUUGACCUUAGCUUCCCAGUGGUAAAAUAUAAAUAACGAUACCUGGAAUACUCCCGGUAAAAUGCUACGAUGAUGUUCUGUGCGCUUGCAGAAUUUUUCUUAUUCUUAUUGCACUUAACGAAUGUCAACACCUCCUGUGCUUUCGGUUUGGUUUAGAAUGGCCAGAAUCGCUCAAGAUGCAAACUCCGGCAAAGCUUGGACACUGGCCAUGGCGUCUGUCGUGGGGGCUCACCGCCGGCGGGCCGGUGCCCACCCCUGAGAAGAUCUGAGCCAUCCGAUCGCGAUCCAAUGGCCCAGAAUAGAAGUUAACCCUUCGUGGUGAAUCUUGUUAAAGAGACCCUGGAAAAGUUAUGAGUUAACCCGCAUUCCAAAGCGCCUUCUCGGUUUUACGCUUUCUGAAUUUGAAAACGUAUUUUCCAUCGGUUUAGUCAGAAUACGCUAUCCAGUAUUUAUAAGAUUGCCACUGAUUUUAUAAUGCUUAUAAAAUACUCAUUUUAACUCUAUUUUGAUCUAUUCAAAUUGCGUUAGGUUUGUAUUUGCAAGCUCUACAUGUUAGUGUCACUGUAGUUUCAGUUUCUAACUUUUUAAUAUCAUAGUACUAAGUAAUUAAUUAUUCUUCUAUAGGAAAUCUUAGAAAAUUCAUAUCUUCUCCGUUUUAACUCCGAUUUUCGUGAUCUUUACGGCUGUGUGAUCGUAGCGCGGCGUAGAAUAUUUUUAUAAACUUUUAUAUUUGUUUUAACAUUGUUGGUGUAUUGUUCUAAUUAUAGCUUGUUUGCUUUGUGUAUGAUUGUCUCCAUUGGAAUGCGUGUUGUUGAUUGAUGAUUGGGAAUAGACGGUGAGCCGUACGUUGGUGAUCAAGGCCAAUCUUUUGACGACCAGCAGGAGUUCCAGCAAAGUUUUGAUCAAGGUAAGUAUAACUUGGGACCAUCCUUGUUACGUACACACUUUUAGUACAUAUAUCAUAUGCAUGUGUCCACUUUGACGACCUUAGCAAAAUCAUAGAUGCUUGUUAUCUAAAUUCCUUGUUACCUACUUGGAUAUGCAUUUGGGUAGCUCUUGCUAGUGCUUGAUUAUAAUCCAUGAUCUUAUAACAUGAAUCUUUGGAUAUGCAAUAAACAAUAAAAUAAGCUUUCUAGCAACUUGAACAUAAAGGGUGGAAAGAACUCUGGCUUUGGCUAGAUUGAUCAUGACCCUCCAUAAGGACUUAUCCCUUGGCAAAAGCUGGGACAACUCGUACAACCAUGAGGGCUAUAUGGCUCUAGUUUUAGCUCAGUAUGAGGACCUUUUUCUAGCUUGUUAGCGGUUACCUUAAAUGGCGUAAGAAUGGCUAGACACGUUGGGUAUAGUGCGGCCUCUGUCCAUGUGUAUAGGCUGCGUGUUAUGUGCCAUGGAAGGGUGAAAGGUCCAAAUGGCUAGAGGGGGGUGAAUAACCUAUUUAAAUUUUCAGCAAACUUCAACUUGACAAGUUGAUUAGUAAAACAAAAGGCGAAGCUAUUCUAGCACUAGCACAACUAAGCUAUGCAAGCCACCUACACAAGUCUAGCAAGAAAGCUAAACACUAGUUACAACAAGAAAGCACAACUAGAAGCUUAUUACACUCCUAAACAAGAAAGCUAAGCUAAACAAGCUACACAACUAGCAAGGUAUGCACAUAAGUAAAGGAGAGGGGAGUGAUUGUAAUACCAACGUUGUAGAGUGGAAAUAUGCCCAAUCAAUCAAUCAAUCACAAUUACAAGAGAAUCCUCGGCAAGAGAUGACACAAGAUUUUUUACCGAGGUUCACUUGCUUCCCGGCAAGCUAGUCCUCGUUGUGGCGAUACACCCACUAGAUGGAUCACGAGCUAAUUGGCAAUCCAAAGCCAAACCCUCAGUGGGUGCCUCACAUCAACUCACAAUAUGGGGAUGCUCCAAGCCACGAGCAAUCCACUAGAGUAGCCAAUUGUGAUCUCCCGCGGGGAAGGCUCAAGAACCCCUCACAAAUCACUUGGUGAGGCUCGAAACAAUCUCCAAUCACGAGCUCCACACCUCCGCUGCUCCAAGCCGUCUAGGGCGUCGGGAAAUACCCAAGAGUAACAAGAAAUCUGCAGCUAACUCAAGAAUCAAGUGCCACUAAAUGCAACUCAGAAAGCAAUGCACUUGAAUUUCACUCAAUCUCACUAUGAUUAGCAAUCAAGCAAGGAGAUGAGUGGAGUGUUCUCUAGCUCAAAGUACGCCUCAAGUAUUCAAAUGUGCAAGAGUUAAACCCCCCAAAGCUGGCCACCUUCUAUCUAUAAGCUCCCUCAAGGAACUAGCCAUUCGCCACUUUCAUUGGGCUGAAAUCGGGGCACCGGACGCUACCAAGUGAGCACAGGACGCUCGACCCCCUGCGUCCGGUGCACUGGGGUUAGCCACGUGUUCUUCUUUGAAUCUCGAACGUCAAACUCUAACGGUCACAUACGGACCACCAGAUGCUACCAAGUGGCCACCAGACACAUCCGGUACUCACCGGUCUCGUGCGCAGAGAGUUUGUCAAACCAUGACCUCACCGGACUGGGAGCACCAGACGGUCCGUUGCUCACUGGACUUAUGCGCAGAGAGGGUUGCAAAACCACCUCACACCGGACAGACACCACCGGACGCACUCAGAGCGUCCGGUGCUCUCAGUCAGGCACCCUCUACUUAAGUCAGGCCACACCGGACGCAUGAACAGGCAACACCCUACAUCCGGUGCGGUGCGUCCGGUGCUCAAUCCUAGCUAGGUCAAGCACUGACAGCACACCGGACGCUGAGGCCAGCAUCCGGUGCCUCCGCACCCUACGUCCGGUGAAACACUCCUGCGACUUGUCCAAAUUUCCCACCAGCGCAAUAGAAAAUAUACACUUAAUUUUCUCAAAAGCGCCGAAUCCACACCCCUCUCAACCCUAGGAACUACUCCUCCUUUGCAAAUGUGCUAACACCAACAAGUGUUCACCACCAAAGUGCAUGUGUGUUAGCUUUUCACAAACAUUUUACCAAAGGAGUUAGGUUAGCACUUUACUAGAUCCUAAUGCAUAUGCUCAAGAUAUGGACCUAGUAACACUUGAUUCGAGAGAUGACCGUGAUUUCCCCUCUUGAUAGUCGGCUAUCUAUCCUAAACCCGGUCAAACACUUCUCUACUCAACUUAGACCAGCAAAAGCAAAACCCUAUGUUUAUACCUUUGCCUUGUUCACUUUCUCCCUUGUCUAUCAUCAUCAUCUCCACAUCAUGCUUCAUCUCUUUGUAAUCAUGUGGCCACCUUUCCAUGCCACCAUGCACCUUCAUCACUUGUGUUGCUAUGCCUAACUCAAAUCACUUAAAGACAAAGCAUUAGCAACUUGGUGUCAUUAAUUAACAAAACCAAACUUGGGCUUUCAAUCUCCUCCUUUUUGGUAAUUGAUGACAACCAUCACAAAGAAAUGAAAUGAAAUCAUAAUGAACUUGAAUUACUUGUCCAAAGCAUUUUGAUUAUGAGACAAUUUUGGACAAACAUUUCAAUUUCGGUUUUGGUAGUACUAGCUCCCCCUACAUAUGUGCUUCCAUGAGUUUGGUUCAAGUUUGCACAUAUGCAUGAAUUGGAAUUUUGGGAGAUUUAUUACUACCAAAAUGAUGCUAAGGUAUAUAGAAUGGACCUUUGAAGCGUGAUACCAAUCGGAAUUGCCAAUAUACCAUCCUUAGCACCAAUGUAGCUAGACAUACAUCAAAAACUCAAGAUACCUCGUGAGAUCACAUUAUAUGUCUAGAUACCACAUAAAAAUAAAACUCUAUGCUAGAAUUUAAAGCAUAAUUCAAGUUUUAUUUCUAGCAAGCACCAAUCAAACAAGAGUUGUGAAUUUAAACUUGCAAUGCAACACCUCAUUUUGUUAGUGCACAAACACAUGCAACAAAUGGUUCAUGAGCUUGCUCCCCCUGUUUGUGUGCUCAUGUUUAAAAAUUUUUCUCUUCUUUUAUCUCCCAAACUUUGUUUCUCUCCCCCUUUUUGACUUUAUCUUUGUUUCUCUCCCCCUUUGUCAUCAAUGACCACAAAGGUUCGAAUUUUAGUGAGAAUUAAGGCAAUCAAAGUGAGGGUCAAAUUAUGGUUCAAUCUAGAUCACUUGCCUAGAACAUGCAAUUCGGUUUGAUCCAAGGUCAAGCUUUUUCACACCUCAUAAAGUAUAAGGGUUAUCUUGACCAUGUUGAAUUACACAUCAUAAGCUCAUAUUCAAGAUCCAACACUAGGCUUACAAGCUCACAAACAUGUCAUAUGCUACCACUAGACCAAUCAAUCAUAGAAGCAAUAGUGGUACCAUACAUACAUCAAAAUCUUUUGAUUUUCAUGAAUGAGCCUAUUUGUCAUGCAAACAUGUCUAUAUGUUCUAAUCAUGUCCUUAGCAAAGUACGAAUGCUAUGUCAACCAACUUUACCUUGCUUUGUUGGAGGAGAGGCAUGUUAUAUAGAAAUGUGGGGGUGCACUCAUCUCAAGUUGGAGAAGUCAAGUAUGUUCAAUUCAUUUCUCAACUUGCAAAAUCUUUUCUCAUCAAGUGGCUUUGUGAAGAUGUCGGCUAGUUGAUCUUCGGUGCCAAUGCUUUCAAUGCUAAUAUCACCCUUUUGUUGAUGGUCCCUUAUGAAAUGGUGCCUUAUGUCAAUGUGCUUGGUUCAUGAAUGUUGAACCGGAUUUUGUGUCAUCUUGAUUGCACUCUCAUUGUCACAAAGCAAAGGCACAUUCUUGAAUUUGAUUCCAAAGUCAUUCAAGGUAGCUUUCAUCCAAAGCAAUUGUGCACAACAACUACCGGCACUAAUGUAUUCCGCCUCGGCGGUUGAUAGUGCAACACUAUUUUGUUUCUUUGAUGACCAUGAAACUAGAGACCUUCCUAGCAAUUGACAAGUGCCACUUGUGCUCAUUCUAUCAAUCUCGCAUCCACCAUAGUCAGAGUCCGAAUAUCCAAUCAACUCAAAGUUAGACCCCUUGGGAUACCAUAAUCCAACAUCAUGAGUGCCCUUGAGAUACCUCAAUAUUCUUUUGGUUGCCUUCAAGUGACUCUCUCUAGGUGAAGCUUGGUAUCUAGCACACUUGCACACACUAAACAUCACAUCCGGCCUUGAUGCGAUGACAUAGAGCAAACUUCUAAUCAUGGACCGAUAUAGCUUUUGGUCUACCAUGUUGCCACUUGCAUCACUACCUAGUUGAUCAUUUGUGCCCAUAGGUGUGCUCAUUGGUUUAGCUUCUUGCAACCCAAACUUCUUGAUCAUGUCCUUGAUGUACUUGCCUUGACUCACAAAAGUGCCAUCCUUCAUUUGUUUGAUUUGAAGACCAAGGAAGUAACUAAGCUCUCCAAUCAUGGACAUCUCAAACUUAUUUGCCAUCAUUCUUCCAAACUCUUCACAAAGAUCUUGAUUGGUUGAUCCAAAGAUGAUAUCAUCAACAUAGAUUUGCAACACAAACAAGUCAUUGCCUAGCUUCUUGGUGGAGAGGGUAGUGUCAACCUUUCCCAUCUUGAACCCUUUAGAGAGAAGGAAAUCUCUCAAUCUCUCAUACCAUGCUCUAGGUGCUUGCUUCAAACCAUACAAUGCAUUCUUGAGCUUGUACACAUGGUUGGGUUUCUUUUCAUCUUCAAAACCGGGAGGUUGUUCAACAUAAACCAACUCAUUAUUGUAUCCAUUGAGAAAUGCACUCUUCACAUUCAUUUGAUAUAGCUUGAUGUUGUGGGCACAAGCAUAGGCUAAUAAGAUUCUAAUUGCCUCUAAUCUUGCAACUGGUGCAUAAGUUUCUCCAAAGUCAAGACCAUCAACUUGAGUGUAACCUAGUGAUACUAAUCUUGCUUUGUUUCUCACAACUAUACUGUCUUGAUCUUGCUUGUUUCUAAAGACCCACUUGGUACAAAUUACAUUGUAGUUCUUUGGCCUCUCAACAAGCUCCCACACUUGAUUUCUUGUGAAGUUGUUCAAUUCUUCAUGCAUGGCAUUUACCCAAUCGGAAUCCUUCAAUGCGUCUUCUAUCUUCUUUGGUCCCUCAAAUGAGACAAAUGAGUAGUGCUCACAAAAGGAUGCUAGCCUUGAUCUUGUUUGUACACCACUUUGAAUACCACCAGUGACUUGAUCCAAUGGAUGAUCUCUUGCUAUGCUUAUAGGUUGGAGUAUUGGGAGUUGAUUGCUUCCACUUGCUUGAGCUUGGUUUUGAUCAUCAUCAUGAGAGCGACUAGUGCUAGCUUGAUUUGUAUCAAUUUGCACUUCUUAAUUGAUCAUGUGAAUGUCACCAUCAUCAUCAACUUGCCUUGGUCUUAUGUCACCUACAUCCAUGUUCUUCAUUGCAUUUGCCAAUUGAUCUCUCACAUCAUCAAGAUUUUGAGCUUCAUUUUGAGAUCCUUUGGUUUCAUCAAACUCAACAUCAUGAACUUCUUCCAAUGUGCCAUUUGUCAAGUUCCAAACUCUAUAUGCCUUGCUUGUGGUGGAAUAACCAAGUAAGAACCCUUCAUCACAUUUCUUCUCAAACUUGCUUAAUCUAGUGCCUUUCUUGAGAAUGUAGCAUUUGCAACCAAACACUCUAAAGUAUGCUAUGUUGGGCUUUCUUCCAUUCAAUAACUCAUAUGGUGUCUUCCCAAGCUUCCCAUGGCAAUAGAGACGGUUGCUAUAAUAGCAAGCCGUGUUGAUAGCUUCACUCCAAAAUGAAUGGCUAUCAUUGUAUUCACUAAGCAUUGAUCUAGCCACAUCAAUCAAGGUUCUAUUCUUCCUUUCAACUACACCAUUGGAUUGAGGAGUGUACGUUGGAGAGAAUUGAUGUCCAAUGCCAAGAUCAUCACACAAUUCCUCAAUUCUAGUGUUCUUGAAUUCACUAUCAUUGUCACUUCUAAUCUUCUUGAUAGUGGUUUCAAACUCAUUUUGCACCCUUUUUACAAAAGACUUGAAUAGAUCACAAACAUCACUCUUGUCAUAGAGGAAGAACACCCAAGUGUAUCCAGUGUAGUCAUCUACUAUCACAAACCCAUAUUUGUUGCCACCAAUGCUUGUGUAUGUUGUUGGCCCAAAUAAAUCCAUGUGCAAUAGCUCAAAUGCCUUUGAUGUGCUCAUUUCACUUUUCUUAGGAUGUGCAUUUCCAACUUGCUUACCGUCUUGACAAGCACUACAUGGUUUAUCCUUCUCAAAGGUGACAUCCUUUAAGCCUCUAACUAAGUCAUGCCUCAAUAGUUUGUUCAAUUGUUUCAUUCCAACAUGACGAAGCCUUCUAUGCCACAACCAACCUAAACUUGAUUUGCUAAUUAGGCAAGAUGUCAAUUGAGUGUCACUAUCAUUGAAAUCAACCAAGUAUAAGCUACCAUGCCUAAAUCCUUUGAAUAUCAAGUUUGAUCCAUCAACACUAAUCACCUCAACAUCAUCACUUCCAAAGAUGCACUUGAAACCAAGGUCACAAAGUUGUGCAAUUGAUAAGAGAUUGAAAUCUAGGCUCGCAACUAGCAACACAUUUGAUAUGCUCAUGUCAUUUGAGAUAGCAAUUUUACCAAGCCCCUUGACCUUGCCUUUCUUGUUGUUGUCGAAAGUGAUAGAAUCAAAGCCACCAUUUUGAAAAGUAUCAAUUGAUUUGAACAUACAAGACUCCUCGGUCAUAUGUUGAGUGCCCCCACUAUCAAGCACCCAAUGCCUUCCUCCAGCUUUUAAUUGACCUACAAGACAAGAUCAAUUAUUUUUAGAUACCCAAACUUGUUUGGGUCCUCCAAGGUUAGCAACUAAGCUCUUUGGUACCCAAAUGGCUUUCUUCUUUGAGCCCAUCCAUGAUGCACCAAUGAACUUAGCAUGAACACCUUUUGUAUCCUUGGUAAACACAUAGAAAGAAUUAAGCUUAAUUGAGGAUACAUAAGAUUUGGGUUUCUUGUUCAUGCUUUGCAAUACCGGUCAUUGUUCUUCACAAAACUAGUCUUGUGAGGAGCAAAGGCGGCCUUGCCUUUCUUGGGGUUAUAGCCUAAUCCCUCUUUGUAGAGAGAAGCUCUUUGGCUACCCAAGAAUAUAAGCAAGCGGUCCUCACCACCAUAAGCCUUGGCUAAGGUGUGAUUGAGCUCCUUCACCUCCUUCUUGAGAAUUUCAUUCUCAACUUUUAGUGUGGUGUCACAUGUCAAACCAUCACUACUAUAUGAGGAUGAUGUAUAUGUGCUACAUGAAGGGUUAGUAGAAGCAACAACAAUAGGCUUACUUAAGAUAUCACAUGUUAGGCCUAUGUUGCAAGUUUUAGCUUUCACCAUUUAAGUAGCCUCAUUUUCACAAUUGUUAACUAGAGAGGAAUGAGCUUCUUCAAGCUUAGUGUGAGUCUUUUGAAGCUUCUUAUGGUCUUCCUUUAGACUCUCAUAAGAUGCUCUAAGCUCAUCAAGUUCUUGCUCAAGGGUAUCCUUAAGUAAGGCCUUGCACUCUUUCUAUUUUUUUAUAGUGAUGAGUGCAAUCAUCUAGCAUAGUGAUUAGUUCAUCUUUAGUUGGUUCAUCAUCAUCACUAUCACUAUCACUAUCAUGGUCACUCUCAUCAUCGGAUGAUACCUUAGUGGCCUUAGCCAUGAAGCAUGAUGGAGUGUCGAAGAUGGAGCUCUUCUCUUGAAUAGCAAUGCUAGCAUGCCCCUUCUUUUUGGUGCUCUCAUCAUAACUUGAGGAGUCAUCACUAUCCCAAGUUGCAACAUGUGGAUCACCCUUCUUCUUGUUUGAGCCUUCCUUCUUUUCUUGCUUCUUCUUUUGCUUCUUUCUUUCCUUUUUGAUAGCAUCUUCAUGAUCACUAUCAUAGGGACACUUGGCGAUGAGAUGAUCCUUGCUAUGGCAUCUAAAGCACCUCAUGGAAUGGUCAUUCUUCUUGGAGGAGCUCUUCUUCCUUCUUGCCCGAUAACCCUUCUUCUUCAUAAACUUGCCAAAUCUUUUGACAAGAAGAGCCAUCUCCUCAUCUUUAUCACUAUCACAAGAGCUUGCUUCUUCUUCACUUGAAGACUCUAUAUUAUCCAUGCCCUUGGAUGAGGAGGCCUUGAAUACCACACUUUUCUUCUUCUCAUCAUCCUUCUUCUCACCAUCCUUCUUCUUCUUUUUGAUCAAUUCAUCCUUCUCAUCAUCUUCUCUAUAGGCAUCAUCGGUCAUCACUUCUUGGAACACUUGUUGGGGAGUUGAUUCACUAAGUGUUGUCUUGACUAGUACGGUGAUCAAUGUGUCAAAUCUCUUAGCCAAGCUUCUCAAGAACUUCAUAGAGAAUUGACUAUCCUUAACUUCUUCCCCAAGUGUCUUGAGCUCAUUCACAAUAACUGGCAACCGGUGAAACAUCUCCGGCACACUUUCAUCUUCUUGCAUCUUGAAGCUUGAGAACUUUUCUUGGAGGAUGUAUGCCUUGGCGGUCUUGGUUCCCUUAGUGCCCUCAAAUGUUUCUUGUAAUUUUGCCCAUGCAUCAUGAGCAAUCUCAAUGUUCUUGAUUUGCUCAAAGGUUUUGUCAUCAAGAGCUUCAUGAAGAGCACUAGUGGCAAUAUCAUUGCAUUGUAGCUUCUUUUCUUCGACCAGUGUUGGUGCAUUCUCAUUUGCAACCUCAAACUUUGCUUCAGUCACCUUCAAAACAUCUCUAUUGAUUGACUUAAGAUGAGCGGUCAUCUUGACCUUCCAAUAAGAAUAAUUGGUGCUAUCAAAGUAAGGUGCCUUCUUAGUGUUGUUGAUAUGCAAACUAAGAGCCAUUUCUUCACUGUAGGUUGUUAUGCCUCAAAUAAACGGUGCCUUGGCUUUGAUACCACUUGAAAGGUCCAAAUGGCUAGAGGGGGGUGAAUAGCCUAUUUAAAUUUUUUACAAACUUCAACUAGAAAAGUUGAUUAGUAAAACAAAAGGCGAAGUUAUUCUAGCACUAGCACAACUAAGCUAUGCUAGCCACCUACACAAGUCUAGCAAGAAAGCUAAACACUAGUUACAACAAGAAAGCACAACUAGAAGCUUGUUACACUCCUAAACAAGAAAGCUAAGCUAAACAAGCUACACAACUAGCAAGGUAUGCACAUAAGUAAAGGAGAGGGGAAUGAUUGUUAUACCAACAUUGUAGAGUGGAAAUAUGACCAAUCAAUCAAUCACAAUUACUAGAGAAUCCUCGACAAGGGAUGACACACGAUUUUUUACGGAGGUUCACUUGCUUCCUGGCAAGCUAGUCCUCGUUGUGGCGAUACACCCACUUGAUGGAUUACAAGCUAAUUGGCAAUCCAAAGCCAAACCCUCAGCGGGUGCCGCACAUCCACUCACAAUAUGGGGAUGCUCGAAGCCACGAGCAAUCCACUAGAGUAGCCAAUUGCGAUCUCCUGCGAGGAAGGCUCAAGAAUCCCUCACAAAUCACUUGGUGAGGAUCGAAACAAUCUCCAAUCACGAGCUCAACACCUCCGCUGCUCCAAGCCAUCUAGGGAAUCAGGAAACACCCAAGAGUAACAAGAAAUCAGUAGCAAACUCAAGAAUCAAGUGCCACUAAAUGCAACUCACAAAGCAAUGCACUUGAAUCUCACUCAACCUUACUAGAAUUAGCAAUGAAGCAAGGAGAUGAGUGGAGGGAGUGUUCUCUAGCACAAAGUAUGCCUCAAGUAUUCAAAUGUGCAAGAGUUAAACCCCCAAAAGCCGGCCACCUUCUAUUUAUAAGCUCCCUCAAGGAACUAGCCAUUGGCCACUUUCACUAGGCUGAAAUCGGGGGCACCGGACGCUACCAAGUGAGCACCGGACGUUCGACCCCCUGCGUCCGGUGCACUGGGGUUGGCAACGUGUUCUUCUUUGAAUCUCGCACGUCAAACUCUAAUGGUCACCUACGGACCACAGGAUGCUACCAAGUGGGCACCGGACACGUCCGGUACUCACCGGUCUUGUGCACAGAGAGUUUGUCAAACCAUGUCCUCACCAGACUCGGAGCACUGGACGAUCCGGUGCUCAUCAGACUUAUGCACAGACAGGGUUGCAAAACACCCUCACACCGGACGCACUCAGAGCGUCUGGUGCUCUCAGUCAGGCACCCUCUGCUUAAGUGAGGCCACAACGGACGCAUGAACAUGGAACACCCUGCGUCUGGUGCUCAACCCUAGCUGGGUCAAGCACUGACAGCACACCGGACACUGAGGCUAGCGUUCCGUGCCUCCGCACCCUACGUCCAGUGAGUGUUUCUUAGUGAGAAACACUCCCGCGACUUGUCCAAAUUUCCCACCGGCAUAAUAGAAAAUAUACACUUAAUUUUCUCAAAUGCGCCGAAUCCACACCCCUCUCAACUCCAGGAACUCCACCUCCUUUGCAAAUGUGCUAAUACCAACAAGUGUUCACCACCAAAGUGCAUGUGUGUUAGCUUUUCAAAAACAUUUUACCAAAGGAGUUAGGUUAGCAGUUUACUAGAUCCUAAUGCAUAUGCUCAAGAUAUGGACCUAGUAACACUUGAUUCAAGAGAUGACCGUGAUUUCCCCUCUUGAUAGUCGGCUAUCUAUCCUAAACCCGGUCAAACACUUCUCUACUCAACUUAGACCGGUAAAAGCAAAACCCUAUGUUUAUACCUUUGCCUUGUUCACUUUCUCCCUUGUCUAUCAUCAUGAUCUCCACAUCAUGCUUCAUCUCUUUGUAAUCAUGUUGCCACCUUUCCAUGCCACCAUGCACCUUCAUCACUUGUGUUUCUAUGCCUAACUCAAAUCACUUAAACAAAAGGCAUUAGUAACAUGGUGUCAUUAAUUACCAAAACCAAACUUGGCCUUAAAGGGGAACUCUAUAUCUGCCUGCUGAGUGAAUCUAAUGGCCCUAACUUGUUAGACGAAACCUUUGAAAGGCUUCAUAGUGAACCCUACUGGCUUUCCUUGGAAGUGAGCUAAGAGGUCAACGGGCCUCGGGCGAAAGCGUAAAUCACGACUCAUGGGUAAAGAUGUACAACCUCUGCAGAGUGUUAAAUCUGGUAUACAAGCCGUGCCCACGGAUACGGGCAUCCCAAAAAACUAACGGAAUAGAUAGACAUUGAUGAACAUGAUUAAUGAUGAUAAAUGAUGGUUUAUUAAGUUGUUUAUAUGUGUUAUUUUUAAUUCUUGUAUACAUUGAUCAUGUGGUUAUGGGAAUUAAUUAUGCUACCUUGACAUUUGCUAUCUAAAUAUAAACAUGCUAUCUACAUAUAAAAGCUAAAUGCAGUCAAACCAGUGUCAGCUUAUUGAGCCUCAUGAACCCCUGGUUGUACUUGUUGAGUACGAUAUGUGCUCACUCUUGCUAUUUCACAACACCUCAGGAUAUGUUAAUGAAGAUGACUGGAAUGAGGACUACCGUUAUGAGUGCUAUGCAUGGAGUCAACCAGUCGACAGUGUCCCUGUGUGGUGCUUCCGUUGAGAAUAUCUUUAUUUGUUUAAGACUAUGAAAUAAUUAUGAUUCCGCUAUGUAAUAAACAUUUUGAUGGUACUAUUUGAGAUUUGUCAACUUGUGUGUGCGACAGUUUCUGGGGCGCACAUAAGCCUUUUAUGCACUCUAUUUCAUUCUUGAAAUUUGGGUGUGACAAAUUGGUAUCAAAACUUUGUUGGCUAUCAGACGCAAGCCUAGUUAGAAAUUGGCCGUCUUAAGGUUUUGAAAUUGCUAUAAAAUCCUUGCUCUAUAAACCUUGAUAUUUUUUUCUAUAUUAUAUCCUUUUCAUUGCUAUUCAUCUUCACCUUGUUGCUUAUUUUAAAGACUUGUUCUCAUCCUCACUCCUUGCUUUGAUAUGCUUUUAGAACUUUCUCUUACCACAUUCCAGCGUCAUUGAAAUAUGAGUUUUAGGAUCUUUACCCUUAAUAGGAAGAGAACAAUAGUACUGCAAGUUGAGUCAAUGCUUGAAGUGUGAACCAUUGAUGCUUGGUUUGGUUUGUUAUUAUGCUUAUGCUUUAUUUGGAUCUUUGUAAUGAGUUAAUGAUCUUGUGGGUUUUCUCCACAAUUUCAUUUAGUUUAAGGCCUAAGGCAUAAGGAUUAAUGAACUAAAUAGUUGGGUAUGGUUAAAGUUCUGUUUCUGUCCCUUGCUGAUUUUUGGAGCAGUUCGCAAUAAUUCUGAUAUAACUCAAAUUCUGUUAAUGUAAAGUUUAUCAAAUUUUUCUGGGAACAACUAGACUUCUUUAUCUUUCCAAUGCCACAAGAAUGACAUUAUUAUCUAUUAUAGUCUGUGAGAUACAACUGUUCAAAUUUGAAGUUUCUGCGCAGUCUGGAAUUCUGGAACAGUUUUGGUUAUGCCCAGUUUUGACUUAAUUAACUACAGGAUCUGUUAACAUGGUCUAAACUAAAGUUGUAGAUAAUUUCUUUAUCUUUCCAACGGUGUACAGAAUGUGUCCUUUUGAGUUCUGGAACUCGAGAUAUGACUGGUUUUCUGAACUGUUGAUGUUGGUUAUCACCCAGAAAAAUUCAGAUUCAACUAUCUCUUGUAUUUAUCAUGUUGGAUAUUAGUGAGAUCUAUUCCUGUACCUUGGGAUGCAGAUGGCAGCAAGAUGCAGAGACAGAGGUAGACGUCAUGGUAGGGGUGCUAAUGCCCCAAUCUCUAUGGAGGAACUAAUGCAUACAUAGAACGAGAUGAUGCAUGCAUUCCUACAACAUCUCCAGCACCAGCCUGCAGCUCCACCACCACCACCUGUCUAUGUGAUGGAUAAGCAUGGCGAGUUUAUGAAAGGACAACCUCCAGAGUUUACUCAUUCAGCUGACCAUAUUGAAGUAGAUGAUUGGUUGCGUGCUGUGGAAAGACAGUUAAACAUAGCUCACUGCAAUGAUCUAGAGAAGGUGCUAUAUGCUUUUGGAUAGCUACAGGGAGCAGCUCAGGCUUGGUGGGAAUCAUACAAAGCUGCUCGUCCUAAUAAUGCUCCUGCCGUCACUUGGUAGGAAUUCUGUAGAGAUUUUAAGGCACGUCACAUCAAUGAAGGGAUGAUAGAGAUAAAGUAGGAGGAGUUUAGAUCACUCAGAAUGGGCUCUAUGACCAUUGUAGAGUAUCAUGAUGCAUUUGAGCAGCUGGCUCGCUAUGCUCCGAAUGAGGUCAGGGAAGAUGUUGAUAAGCAGCGUCUAUUUAUGAAAGGCCUUUAUUAUGAUCUCAGAUUGCAGUUGGCUGGGAACACUUAUCCUACUUUCCAAGCUCGGGUGAACCGUGUCAUUGUGCUAGAUGAUAUGCGCAAGAGUCAGCAUCGGAAGAGGAGAAUGCAAGGACAAUGUUUGGGUAAUAAUAACCGCCAGCGCUUUGGCUCUCAACAAGGUUUCCAUCAGAGUUAUCAGGAACCUGUUAGUCAGUGGAACCGUGAUCAGUAUCCUCAGCAAUUCUAGAAUCAACAACAGAGUGGGAAUCAAUGCUUUCAUUUUCAGCAGCGUCAUUCUUAGCAGCAGCAGGAUGGUCGACAGACACCUCAAUCAAGGAAUCCUAAUGCCACCCCUAGGAAGAACAGUGCUCCCAACACUCCUAACAGGUGUUUCCGCUGUGGAAAGGAGGGACAUAUGUCUUAUAAUUGUCUAUAGAAUUUCAACCCACAGAAUUCCCAAGGGGAAAAUAGCAACCAUGAGAACAAUUGAACACCUAACACUGGAAGAGUGAAUCAUGUGUCUGCAGAGACAGCUAUGGAGGAACCUAAAGUUAUGAUUGGUAUGUUUGAUGUCCAUUCCACUCCUGCUACCAUUCUUUUUGAUUAUGGAGCUUCGCAUACAUUCAUUUCACAAGCUUUCAUUAUAACACAUAAUAUACCUGCUUGUGCCAUUAAAAGCCCCAUAAGCGUAAAUUCACAAGAAGGGACUAUACCAGCUUCACAUUGCUGCUUUCCAGUUAAUUUGACUGUAAGGGGGGGUAGAUGUCCUCACCAAUGCAUAUAACAAGGUUAUCCGUACGUAGGACGAGGCCCUCGAUUCGACGCUCCAUCCGUACGUAUGCGCAGCCACCGACGGCCACAGCCUCGAAGACGGAAAUAGCGUCGAGCGAAUCAAUCAGGCGUCGAGCUCUAGUUACCGUCGAAUACGGGAUAGGCUCACGCGAACCGGGAGGCGUCGAGCGCAAGGACGCCGCCCGCCGCCUGACGCGCGCGCGUGCCGGGGCAUUAAAUGCGCCUGAUGUUUCCCCACCUAACACACGGGUCACGGGAGGCGUGAUAGGGAACAGGCACCCGUCCCAUCAAUCUUUUUGCAGCCUUCCCCGCCGAACGGCCCAGGGCAUGUCAGGACGUGGGAAACAGAGAUGGCAUGUCUAAUCAAGACCCCCUCGAGGUAGCCAAGGUCAGCGCUCCGACAUCAGGACGUCGUACAACGUCCGACCCUCGACUUAACAUGGUUCCUUCCUCGAGACGGGUCGGACGUCGACCGGCCGCGCCGCAACCACUCCGCUGGAUUUACCGCUGUGUCGUACAGGCGUGCGAACGACAAACAGGUCCAAGACGGCGCGCAGAGCAGAAUGCAGGGGCACGCGUAAUCAUCACCAGGCUAUCAAGAUGGGACGGCUCGAGGCCACGCCGGUACGGAAGCCUCGAGCAGGUCGGCGCUCCAUGCUGCUAUCGACUCCUAUUCUGACGCCUAUACAUGUACUCUGGAACUCUCCUUGGAACUAUAAAAGGGGGGACUCAGGAAUAGAACACACGACACAACACCACGCAAUACUACAUGCAUACACAGUAAAACUCACACGCCAGACCACGCCUGUAUUCGCCCCUGUACAAGCACUUAGGUGCAAGAUAAUACAAAUCUCUCUCCCCCGCUAGACGUAGGGCCUUCUCUUGCCCGAACCAGGAUAAAUCUCUGUGUCUUCUUGCAUCACCAUCUGGAAAAGGGAGCACGCAUACAAAUUUACUCGUUGGUGUGACCCCCCGUGGGGAAAACACCGACAGUUGGCGCGCCAGGUAGGGGCCCUGCGUGUUUUUCAUCGAUUUCCCACUCCUUUCCAGAUGGCUACUCUCGCCUCGCCGAUUCCGCGCUCUACGGUGAUUUGGUUUGGGAGCCUCGAGUUCAUGUCUACGGGCUCCGGCUACGACAUGAUCUUACUCUCAGUCAGAGGACCAGGAGGAGCCCGCGUUGCGCCAGCACAGUUGAGGGCCUCGAGACGCCCUCACCACCACGCCUCCCCGCGUAAGAAGAGGCGCGGACAGCACCACCGCGGCCCCACUGCUUCAUCACGACCAACAACUCGUACGAAGCAGGAAGCGGGCCGCAAGUCGGCAGCACCAUGUGUCGAAGCAACAAGCGCGACGGCUCAGCACCGCACAACAACGAGAGGGGACGCAUCCCACGCGCUCUCCCCCACCGCUGCUAGGCUUCUUCCACACGGGUUGUUCACUCCAAGAAGGGCACUGCCAUUCGGAUUGGACAACGCCGCGGCGUCGCUCGCCAGAGCAAUAUACCCAAACGCCCAGACGUAUGUGGAAAGACCAAUGGUCCUCCCACAUGACACCGAAGCGCAGUGGCCGGCGUCCGAGCUGCCGGAUCUUUCCCGGGUACGAGGCCUCCGUCGUCUAGGCCCCGGACGAUACACGAUCACCUCACUCAGGCAGCGGCUGCUGGAGGAUGGACGUGGAUGUUUCUACGCCGCCGAACCAGACUCCGACUCCGAAACUGAUAGCUAUGACCCUACAAGGGAAUGCUAUCACAUCGACGGGGCGGUAGAAACUACCGACGAGACACAUGAUGAUGUCGCGGGCGGUCGGGCCCCCGCAGCACGAGAAGACCCCAGGACGCCUGGGAACGACGGGCAGGUCGACCCCCCUCCACAAGAAGACAAGGCUGCACAGCUAGCGCAGCUGCGAGAGCUCAAGAUGAAGCUUGACGAAGACCGAGAGCGCCUCGUCCUGCUUGAGCAAAUCCUUGAGCAAGACUUGCCAUAUCCGCCGGGCGGUAGUGUUCGCAGGCGUGCUCGAGAGGUGCAUCGACAAAUCGUCGGAGACGCAGAGCCAGAGCAGCCCGUCAGCCGCUUCCCUCGAGCGGGCCAAAACGUAGUGGCAGCAACGAUGCUGCUGUGCAACAUGCUAGAGCCGUCGAACUCCCAGGCUCGACGCAUUCGAGACGAGGUACAGACCCUGCUCCAGGUGGCGGCAGUUCAACAAGCCGAAAGCUCAGCUUCUCGACGACGAGGAGCUGCCACUGAAAAGCGCGACGAGCAGCCUCAAAAUGAAAAGGAGGUGUCAGUCCAUCAACAGCCUCCCCCUCGAGGUAGAAAGACCAAUCUCGUUCUCCCCGUCGACAAUCAACGUCGACACGACGCGCGGUAUGACAUCGAAGAGAAUCGACGCCGCCGGCACGGAGACGCGGAAGAGCGUGGUUACAGCGCGCAUCGCGGUGGGAGGUACGACAGCGACGAAGAUCGGGUGGCCCCGAGCCACCGGGCCCACGAGUGUUCAGCAGGGCGAUCCGCAGCACGCCCCUGCCCAGUCCGUUCUGACCCCCGACCAGCAUCGCAAAAUACAAUGGUGAGACCAAACCAGAAUUAUGGCUGGCCGAUUUUAGGCUGGCCUGUCAGUUAGGUGGUGCUCGAGGUGACAAUCGAGCCAUUAUUAGACAGCUACCCCUCUUCCUCUCCGACACCGCCCGUCGAUGGCUCGAGGAACUCCCAGCUGAUCAGAUCUACAACUGGGUUGAUCUGGUCAGGGUUUUUGAGGGUAAUUUCAAAGGGACCUACAUACGGCCCGGGAACUCGUGGGACCUCAGCAAAUGCAAACAUAAGUCAGGAGAAACUCUUCGAGAGUAUGCUCGACGCUUCUCAAAGCAGCGCACCGAGCUGCCGCACAUCCCUGACCACGACGUCAUCUUGGCGUUUGUCUCUGGCACCACCAGUCGAGACUUGGUGCGGGAAUUAGGUCGUAAUCGACCUCAGACCGUCGACGAGCUGAUGGACGUAGUAGCCAACUACGCAGCAGGGGAGGAGGCAGUCGGCGCCUUCUUCAGCCCUGAAGGAAGAAAAGGCAAGCAGCCCAUCGAUGAAGACGGGACCCCUAGUCGAGGCCUCAAAAAGAAUAAAAAGGAGCAGAAAGCACGGCAGUUCCUGCGGGAGGAUUCCGACGAAAAUCUUGUCGCCGCCAUGGAGCGAAAGAAACCUCGAGGUCCUCCGGAUGGAGGCAUCUUCGACAGGAUGCUAGAAGAGCCGUGGCCUUACCAUAAGGGAGGCGCCAACCACAAGCUCAAGGACUGUCGUAUGCUGAAAAAGCACUUCGACGGUCUAGGGAUCAAGAAAGAUGCGCGUGACGACUCCAAGAAAGAGAAGGACGGCAACAAGGAGGACAACAAAGACGACGACGGCUUCCCCGCCGUCCACGACUGCUACAUGAUCUACGGCGGGCCCUCGACUCAGUUAACCACGAGGCAGCGCAAAAGGGAGCGUCGCGAGGUCUUCGCGGCAAGAAUGGCGAUGCCCCAGUACCUCAGCUGGUCAAGCACUCCCAUCACUUUCGAUCGAGAGGACCACCCCGACAAGGUAGUCGCCCCAGGUGUCUACCCGCUCGUCGUCGACCCGAUCAUCGUCAACACACGGCUCUCAAAAGUGCUGAUGGAUGGUGGCAGCAGCCUCAACAUCAUCUACCUCGAGACCCUCGACCUCCUCGGCAUGGAUAGACGGAAGCUCCAACCAAGCGCCGGCGGUUUUCAUGGCGUCGUGCCAGGGAAAAAGGCGCUGCCAGUAGGUCGAAUCGACUUACCGGUUUGCUUUGGCACAGCGGCCAACUUCAGGAAAGAGACCCUCACCUUUGAAGUGGUUGGAUUCCGAGGCACGUACCACGCCAUCAUCGGACGCCCGGGCUACGCCAAGUUCAUGGCUAUACCCAACUACACCUACUUGAAGCUGAAGAUGCCCGGUCCCAAAGGCGUCAUCACCGUCAGCUCCUUCGAGCACGCGUACGAGUGCGACGUCGAGUGCGUCGAGUAUGGGGAGGCAGUCGAAAACUCCACCGAGCUCAUCACGAAGCUCGAGGCCCUCGAGCGGAAAGACAAACAAGCAUUUAACAAUCACAAAAAGAUACUGUAUCACCCAACAGCAGAAUUAAUAAAGUAUCAUACAAGAGGCCCCAGGCGCCCCGAGCAGGCUCACAGGCCUCAGUCCGCGGUAUGAUCCUCACCACCCUCGCCUCCGCCCGAGCUAGUCUUAGGAGGAAGCACCUCAGGCUCAAAAAGCUUGGCCAACCUCUCUCCAGGAGCCUCCGCGUCGUCGAUCAAGGCGUGGAGCCUCUCUUCUUUCUCCGCGUCGGUCUUGGAGAUGUCGGCGACGAAGCCGUGGGACACCACCUCCAUGUCAUAGGAGAAGCCCGAGCAGACAAAUGCCAUCGCCCGCUUCACCCCGAUGUGGAGGGCGUCCCGCACUCGGUCUCUCAGCGUCGCGCCCAAGUAGCACAACUGGUCGACCAGUGCGUCGCCUCGAGCUCCCUCCCUCGACUCGUCCAUAGGCUCGACCUCCCAAGAGGUCGAGAGGUCGCUUAUCGCCGUCCACACACGACGGUUCAAAGCAACCUCCGCCUCGAGCUGGGCCUUAGCAUUACGGGCCUCGACUUGGGCAGCUAGGAGUUCAUCCUUAAGACCUGCAAACGCCAAUACAAAAAAAACUUUAGGAAGAAACCGAGCGCACCUCGAGAAAGAAAUCCGACAAAGGAAACAAACCUCGAACGCUCUCCUCCAGGGCCGUGUUCUCAUCGACCAAUCUGGUGUUGGCCCUCUCGAUCUCUCUGUUGGAGCGCGCCAGCUCAGUAUUGGCAACGUGGAGAUCUUCGAUCACCUUGCCAGCCUGAGCAAUGGCCCCGCUCUUCUCCAGCAAUUCUCCCAUCAGACACUCGACGUCGUCAGAGAGACAGCGGGAUCGAGCCUGCUCCGCCUCGAGGUGUUCGAGGGCCUUCUUCUUUACGUCCUCGGCGGCACCCCUGGCGACCUCACUGUCCACGUACGCCACCUUCAUCUUCUAGAAGGAGUCGCGGAGGGAGUCCAGGUCGGUCUUGAGAAGGCCCUUCUCCCUGUCCAGGUCUGCAAUGACGCUCUUAUAGGACAGGGCCUCCUCUCGGGCUUUGGACGCGGCCACCUCGACCGUAAGAGUCCGCUCUCGCAGCACCGUCGUCUCCUCCUCCGCCCUCCUUGAGGCCUCUCGAGCCUCGGCCAAGGCAGCCUCCCUCGCUUUCUUCUCCUCCUCAAGCGCUAUGAGGUCUUUGUAGGCCUGAAGGAGCUUCUCCUACGACUCGAGGAGUUGAUCCUUAAGGAGGGGGAGCUGCUCCCAGCCGCCUCUCGUGGCGUGAAUGAAACUGGACUUGAUGCGGGAGGUCUCUUUCAUAUCCUGCGAACCAAGGGUCGAGCAGUUAGAGCACAAAAACCGAAAGGCUCCAUGAGGAUUGAAGAUCGAAAAACACUUACAAAAUAAGCCGGCCCGAGCCCGUUGUUGAUAACGUCUGCCAGGAGCCCCACCACAUGCUUCAUCCAAAGGCGGAGUUCCUCGACGUGUUCCCACUUCUCCGCCUCUUUCCGAUCGUCCAGGAAGAUGUUAUGCUCGGACGGGUCGUGGGAAGCCCGGAUGCGGAUCUGAUCGGGGCACCAGUGCUCCAUCUCCCGGUCGGCCCGUGCCUUGACGCCGCGGAUGAGGUCCUCGACGGUCUCGAGGGAGCCCCCAUGCCGCAGGAACAGGUCGACAAGACAUGGGAACCGCCCGUCGUCGUCCCCUGUCUUCCAGGUUCCGUCCUUGGUCCCCGACGUCCCGAUCUCAUCCUCCUCGGAGGGAAAGCGGUCCUCCCAUGCCCGACGCUCCCGGAGGAACCCUGGGGCGAUCCUGUCCAUGUCGUAGAUCGUCCUCUUGAUCUCGGACUCGGGGUCGGUGGGGGUGCGCAUCAUGCAGGCGAGCGCCACCACUCCAUCCGCUCGCCCCGGCUCUGCCCGGAUUGCGGCAGGAGCCCUCGGGAGGAGCCACGCUGGGGUCGGGGGGCCGUACACCGGCAGAUCCUCUUCUUGCUCGCCCGGCCCUUGCGUCUCCGGCGGUACUGGCUGGGCCGGACCUUGGGGCGGGGGCUCGAGCAGUCCCUCCUCUUGGCCCCCCUGCUGCUGCUGCUGUUGUUGUUGUUGUUGCUGCUGCUACUGUUGUUGCUGUUGCUGCUGCUGUUGCUGUUGUUGCGCCUCGUGCUCCUGCGGCUCUCGCCCGUAGCCCUGCUCCUGCGGCUGUCGCGCCGCCUCGUGCUCCCGCUCUUCAUCCUCCUCCCUCUUCUUCUUCUGCUCCUCGAGGGUGCGGAGGCCGGCAGGCCAUGGAGUCGGUCCCGCGACAUGAGAGUUCGACGCUUCCUCCUCCAUAGGGCGGGCGCCUCCAGAUGUUUUGUUACCAUCAGACGUAUCACUGAUGGUGAUGGGUUCCCCCUCGACCCCCAAUCGAGGAGGCUCGGGGGCUCCCUCCGGCACUUGCGUCUGGGGCGCCUCACCACACGCCGGCAGCGACGGGGUAGGCUCGGAACGAGGCGGAGCACUCUCAGCGCCUGCUGGAGGUUGGGAGUCAGAGGAGCCUACAAAAUAAAGAAUAAAGACCGAUGACUACAAUGGCUAGCGCAAGAGCAUCACAGAUCCCGAAAGUAAGCCACAAACCUGGCUCCUUGGAGGCGGCUCCCGCUUUGAGCCUCUUCGCCAUGGACGGCUGGGCCUGCUCGAGGGUCCGCUUUAGCCUGAGAAAAGAUCAGCAUAUGAGAAAAGGCAGAAGAGGAGGAAGACAAAAGCCACAACAUCGAAAAGGCUUACCCCACAGGGAGAACAGCUCGCCUCCCGCCGCCCCGACCGGUGGGCCUCGAGCCACCCCGUGUCAGGACUCCAGGCCCCUAGAGGGCAGGCGCUGGCCUAGGUGCGUCAGUUCCCACCUGGCGGGCGCCGGGACUGGCGCUCCUGCGGCCGGUCUCUCCUUUCUCGGAGGCCGCGACGCGACCACGAGUCAGUGGCCCCGUCGCCUGGGGCCUAGCGUGACCGCUCUCCCUGGGCGCCGGGGGAGGGCGCGGCGCCACUUGACCAGCCUUGGGCGCAGGAGGGGUGUCGGCCCGAGGACGGUGAGGUCCGCUCGGACCCUCCUUUGGAGCCUCCGUCCGGGGGGCGUCGACAUCGCCUCGAGGCGGGCCCUCGAGGAUUCGGUCAAGGCGUGACGCCAUCCCCUCGGAAUCGUCGCUACCGUCAUCGUCGUCAUCAUCGUCAUUGGGGGAUUCUUCUUCAGGCUCCCCCCUCUGCCUGGAUUUGGCUCGACGCGCCUCUAACGCCUGACGGUCGAGGUUCUUCUUCUUCUCCCCCUUCUUGGCAGAGUCCUUGGCGGACUUUAGCUUUUCGGCGGAUUGGCGCCGUUUGUCACGAUCGACCUCGUCCUCCUUUACCGGAGGCCUCAAGGACCGGACGUCAAUCCGUCCCUGUCGAAAUAAAGGCAGACUUAGAAAGGAAAAAGAGAGGGAAAGAAAGGAAACCCAGAAUCAAGGCUGCGCGCGAGAAGAAAACACACCAUGUCGAUUGAGCCAGCGUCUGGCCUCAUGGGGAAGCCGUUAACAUGCUUCGGCUGAAAAUCACCGGCAAUUGCAGCCCUGACUCGGGCCGCGACUUCAUCAUCCGCCGGAGCCUCGUUGGACAUCCGGCACGCCUCGAGGUCUCGAGAUAAAACGCCAGGGCCCAUCUCAUCCAUCCUCAACGGCCGAGACAUCAAAGGGAGAACUCUCCGGUGAUGGACGGCUGAGAGGACGAGGGCGGCGGUCAAGCCCUCCGAGCACAACUUCUUCAUGGCGUCGAGAAGGGGGUCGAGCCGAGAUUGGUGAGCCUGGACGACGCCGUACGUCCAAUUCUCCGGACGCUCCGUGAUUAAACGCCCGGCAUAGGCGGGCAGCAGGUCGUCGUCGUUCCUCAAGUAGAACCACUGGGAAUCCCAGCCGGCGUGGUUAGUCGACAGUCCCACCGGGAUGUACUCGCGCGGCCUCUCCGACUUCCCCGUCUUUAGCACGAGAUUGAGGCAACCCGUCCGCACAGGUUUCCUCACGCCGGUGGUCCCAGUGGGGGCGUUGAAGAGCUCGCCCCUGUAGAGGUGGAGCCACAGCUCCCAAUGGGGCAUCAUCCCCAAAUAGCCCUCACACACCGCGGCGAAGACCGCUGCGAUGGUGAUGGCGUUUGGGGAGAAGUGCUGAAGCUCCACCCCGUAAUGGAGGCAGAGCGCCCGCAUGAAACGACUCGGGGGAGCACCCAACCCAUGGCGGUGGAACUUGGUGAAUGACACCACGUAGCCCUCGGGCGGCUGGGGCUCCCUGUGAUUCGCCGGCGGCGCGAUCCACUCUGGCGACGAUAGCGAGGUACGGUGGCGCAGCAGUCCCUCUUUCUCCAGCUCUAACAACCGGCGCUCCGUCAUCGACGACGGGCGCCAGUCGUCGGCGGCGACGAGUCUUACAGGCAUCUCGGCCGGAGGGACGGUGGAUCCGCUACUGCUCGAGGAGGCGCGUGCACGUGAGAUGGCGAGAGAGCUAGGACGGCAGGAAGGCUAAGGCAGGAGUGAAGAUGGGAGGUGGAAGAAAGAAAGGCGGCGGUGCCGCGGCGUAUUUAUAAGCCAAGAUCCGCCAACGGACAGAUCCGAGAAAUGAGGUAACGUCCCCCCAUAAAUGCGCUACCUAACAGUCUUUCCCUCUUCACAGGCCGGGCGCUCCGAAUUCCACGCCGAUGCAAUGUCGUAACGUCAUCCGCCUAAAAAGGCGUGCCCAAUGGGCAAAAAGGCGAACCGUCACGGCCACUUCCUUCCCUAGAAAGCCAAGGGUCGUACCCACGAGAGUCUCGAGAGGUCGAUGGCCGGCCCGCCGAAAGGGUUCGACAGCCGAUCUCGAGCACCAGAGUCAGGGAUCUCCAGCGAGCGGUCGAAGAUCGAGGCCUGCCUCGAAGACUCGCUGGCGAUGUCUAAGGUAGGGUCGAGACAGUCGAGAGGAAUCCCCCCGACGGGAGGCAUCGAGCCGCUGGACUCUAUCGAACGAGACCGGUAUCCCCGACCACGUCGACCCAACUUUAUGAGAACGCCUCCGGGCUACAGCUGACCCCCUCGAAAGGGGCACAGGUUCUCACUUAGACUGCCCGCUAGGAACUCAACCUAGGGUGGAAGACGCUCGCUCUAUCGAGAGUACGUCGAAACCUCCAUGCAAAACGAGCCGAUCAGAACCUACCACCACAGGUGUCGAUAGCGAUUCUGCAAGUUAGGCAAUAUAACCCUCGAAGGAGUCAAAAACUCCUUCAAGGGCUCGGGGGCUACCCUCGCGGGGUCGCUCGCGCGCCCCCAUGGAAGUUCAACCGUAAAAGCAAAAGUCUCCACUCGAGCGCUAGCGCUCGAAUGGAGACUCGGGGGCUACUGUCGAGGGUAUCAACAAGGGGUUCCCUCACCAAUGCAUAUAACAAGGUUAUCCGUACCUAGGACGAGGCCCUCGAUUCGACGCUCCAUCCGUACGUAUGCGCAGCCAUCGACGGCCACAACCUCGAAGACGGAAAUAGCGUCGAGCGAAUCAAUCAGGCGUCGAGCUCUAGUUACCGUCGAAUACGGGAUAGGCUCACGCGAACCGGGAGGCGUCGAGCGCAAGGACGCCGCCCGCCGCCUGACGCGCGCGCGUGCCGGGGCAUUAAAUGCGCCUGAUGUUUCCCCACCUAACACACGGGUCACGGGAGGCGUGAUAGGGAACAGGCACCCGUCCCAUCAAUCUUUUUGCAGCCUUCCCCGCCGAACAGCCCAGGGCAUGUCAGGACGUGGGAAACAGAGAUGGCACGUCUAAUCAAGACCCCCUCGAGGUAGCCAAGGUCAGCGCUCCGACAUCAGGACGUCGUACGACGUCCGACCCUCGACUUAACAUGGUUCCUUCCUGGGGACGGGUCGGACGUCGACCGGCCGCGCCGCAACCACUCCGCCGGAUUUACCGCCGUGUCGUACAGGCGUGCGAACGACAAACAGGUCCAAGACGGCGCGCAGAGCAGAAUGCAGGGGCACGCGUAAUCAUCACUAGGCUAUCAAGAUGGGACGGCUCGAGGCCACGUCGGUACGGAAGCCUCGAGCAGGUCGGCGCUCCAUGCUGCUAUCGGCUCCUAUUCUGACGCCUAUACAUGUACUCUGGAACUCUCCUUGGAACUAUAAAAGGGGGGACUCAGGAAUAGAACACACGACACAACACCACGCAAUACUACAUCCAUACACAGUAAAACUCACACGCCAUACCACGCCUGUAUUCGCCCCUGUACAAGCACUUAGGUGCAAGAUAAUACAAAUCUCUCUCCCCCACUGGACGUAGGGCCUUCUCUUGCCCGAACCAGGAUAAAUCUCUGUGUCUUCUUGCAUCACCAUCUAGAAAAGGGAGCACGCAUACAAAUUUACUCGUUGGUGUGAUCCCCCGUGGGGAAAACACCGACAACUAGGUUGUCAUCCCUAGCAUGGCACUAGAGUGUACCAUGGUAUUUAUACGCACACAGAUAAAUCCGCAAGCGCGCGGAUACGAUUGUAGCUUUUACCCGAUUAAAGGUUUUAUCGUAUCCAUAGGGAAACGGGAGAACCAACUACGCUCUAACUUAACCAAGAUAGAUAGAUAGGAGUAAAUAGGAAAGAUGGUAAAAUUGAAUAAGAACCAUAUUAAUGGUAAAAUGAUAAUGGGGGAAUAUAGAGUAGAGAAAUCUAAUGUAUGGGCGAUAAUAGGAGAAUAGAGAGGAUAACUAGGGUUUCUCUACUUCAAAGGGGUAUGUCUGUUUGUGGUGUACCAUAAGUAUAAAAAAACAUAGAGGAUGCUUAUACCUAAGGUCGAGGACUCCUACCAGUCCUGCUAACGGGAGGUGGACUACAGAGGACUACGUAGCUGUCACCUACGCGGCCUACCACGUGAUCCGGCUAACAGGGGAUAUCCACAAGUAAUCUAGGCCUAAGCACCACACUUACACCUAUACUACAAUUCUCACCUAUAGCCUCGUAUAGAUUAAUAUACUCAAAAGAGUUGUGAACCUGAACAUACAUGUAUAGUAAUUGCAUAAUGAAAUAGAAGUAGAUCACUAGAGUCAUUCAAUGAGCAAGCUUGAUUAGAACUUGAUCAUGGCGAAGUACAACAGGAGGAAGAACCGACAGGCCGACCUCCCCCCCAAUCCUCCCUCGCUCUCCAUUUCUUUACUACCUAGAUCUACUCUAGUUUAGAGAUGAGAGGAGAGCUCUCGUCUCCAAAUCCUAGCUUUUGCUUUGUCUAUGAAUAAUGAAUAGGGAUGCAGACGUGUCUUCUCUAGGGUCUAGGGGGCCUGCUUAUAUAGCCCUUCCAAAUGAACGUGGGUUGUCGGAUCAAACCGACCUUAAUCGCACGGUUUUUCUUAAUCCUUUAGGUCGGUGGAGCAUAAUCCGCGAGGUGGAGCCUGAUUGGCUGCCAGAGCAGGGCGGGCGCCCUAGGGGGGAGGGCGGCCGCCCUGUCCGUGGGCCCGCUCGGCCUCCUGUUUGUUCCCGUGGCUUCUGGACUCUUCUAGAUGAUAGAAAAUUGGCGCACACGUUAAUAUCUCUAUGUAAACCCGACAUGUGGGCCUUUCCUCCAUAUUUCCUGAUAACCCCUUACAGAAAUAGACAAACACCAAAACUCGUGGAAUUCUGUCAGAUAAAACCCUAAGCCUGGGUGUUGGUUGCAUUUGGAUCCUUUUCUUUAUUUAUUUGAUGAUUAAAUUUGAGACUUAAGGACCGUCAACAAACUCCCCCAAGCUUACCUCUUUCUCGUCCCUGAGCAAGGAUAGACUCAGUGAUGGAUCAGAAGCUGCUGUAAUGCCUUUCACCAAAGGGCUUGUAACCGUCACUUGUGUCUUGAGCAGUUAAAAGAUAGAAUGGUCUAGUCAAGCGCCAUGUUCCUUAUUCUUGAUUAGCUAUAGCUCUAUCAUUUUUUUGGCAGAUUUUCAAAUAAAACUCAGAGAUUCCUUGUAUGAUUCUCUCAAGUCUCUCCUUUGUGGUAUUUCUAGAUCCUUACCAAGGCAGUAAUGGUGUAUGCCUUCUCUCAAAGUAUGUGGUAUUUUUGGUACGAGGCAUAGUGACAUUGCCUUCUCUCUCACCCUACUUUAAUAAGGUUUUGAUAUCUGGAGGUCGUAGGUGGGAGACAGCUAAUAGAUACUUACAAGACAUUUAUUGCAUAGUCAAACCAUGGAUCCAGAAGAACAAGUGAAUAAGUCAAAUCAAGAUGUGCAUAUGUGGCGAAUGAAUGGUUAUAAUGGUGAAAAUAAUGGUCAAAGUCUAAUUCUACUUUUGCUCGGGAGUAUUCCAGAGUAUCGAUUUUCCACAGGGAACGUGAGUGUACUAAUUAAGAAUCAAGAUCGCCCAAAGAUGACUAUAUAAUUGUUUUUGGUGGGAAGAGAGGAAGUUUCCUGAGAGUUCUCUAAUUGAUCUAAGAAUCAAGAAUUACUUCAAGAUUAUCUAUGUCGGGACAUCAGAACACUAACCACAGAAAGAGAUGAGAAGGGGGCUAGGAAGCUCCGACUACGGUCCUACAAACACCAAUCCGAACGAGGUGGAAUACGUCGACCAUUAGGGCUGUCACUACCUUAAGGCUACCACAACAAUCCGCAGGAUUGGGUGCAAUUCCAUGUAAUUGCAAGACUAAACACCACGUCUAAUCUAUUAAUUACUACUCUAAUGUUGCAAAUAUUAGAGCACUUGAUGCAAGCGGGAAUCCAAUAAAUAACUUGAAUAUAAAUAAAAGUAAUUAAAGAACUCAGGAUUAUGAAUUGAAGAACCUAGAGAACGAUGAAGAACGAACCAGUUGCUGCAAAAGUACAAUGAUGAGGAAGAUCCGACAGAUCCGGCUCCUCCUCCUCCGCUCUCCUCUUCUCUCUCCCUAUUUUCUAGAUUACAACUAGAACUAACUAGAACUAGAACUAGAACUAGAUGAACUAGAACUAGAUCUAGAUGAACUAGAGGUAGAACUAGAAGAACUAGAGGGAUCCUCUCUACUAGGAUGAAGAAUUGAAACCCUAGCUUUGAUUCUGUAGAAGAGGUAUGUUCUCCAGGGGCCAGGGGGUCUGGUUUUAUAGUCCCUCCAAGUGAAUAUGGGCCGUUGGAUCAAACCGACAUUGAUUGAACGGUUAUCCUUGAUCCUUUAGGUCGGUGGAACAUCGUCCCCGAAUUGGACUCUGUUUGGUGGAAAAUGGUGGGCGGACGCCCUCAGGACUAGGGCGGGCGCCCUGUCCCUGAGGCCUCUCGGCUUGCGCUUUGUUCCUGUGGCUUCUGGAGUCUUCCAGAUGAUAGAAAAUUGCGUGGCACGUUAAUAUCUCUAUGUAAACCCGACGUGUGGGCCUUUCUUCCGUAUUUCCUGAUAACCCUCUGCAGAAAUAGACAAACACCAAAACUCAUGGAAUUCUGUCAGAUAAAACCCUAAGUCUAGGUGUUGGUUUCAUUUGGAUCCUUUUCUAUGAUUAGUUGAUGGUUAAAUGUGAGCAUUAAGGACCGUCAACAAGCUCCCCCAAGCUUAACCUUUGCUCGUCCCUGCGCAAAGAUGGACUCAAGAGUUUCUGCAGUGGUUUCAUGCCUUAAAAAUACACAUGCGUUCAAACAAGAUCUCAUCUCUAGGUUAGGGUAAACUGUUAAGAUUUAAACUUACUCAUUUUACCUUCCACCAUGGGGCUUGCAACCAUCACAUGUGUCUUGAGCAGUUAAAAGAUAGAACGGUCUAGUCAAGCGCCAUGUCUCUUGUUCUUCGAUUACUAUAGCUCUGGAGUUUUUGCAUAUUUUCAAAUAAAACUCAGAGAUUUCUUGUAUGAUUCUCUCUAGUCUCUCUUUUGUGGUAUUUCUGGAUCCUUACCAAGGCAGUAAUGGUAUAUGCCUUCUCUCAAAGUAUGUGGUAUUUGUGGUAUAAGGCAUGGUGGCAUUGGCUUCUCUCUCACACUACUCUAAUAAGGCUUUUGAUAUCUGGAGCUCAUAAGUGGGAGACAGCUAAUACAUACUUACAAGACAUUUAUUGCAUAGUCAAACCAUGGAUCUAGAAGAACAAGUCAAUAAGUCAAAUCAAGAUGUGCAUGUGUGGCGAAUGAAUGGUGUAUGAUGGUGAUAACAAUGGUGAAACUCUAAUUCUACUUGUGCUCUUUUGAGGGGAUACAUACCUUUCUUGCUCUUUUGAAACUUUUUGAGGAGAAUAAGAUGCUCUAUAUUUUCCUUCUUUCUUUUUUUCUUUUUUUCUCUCUUUUUUUUUCUUUUCUCUCAGGUGGGUAUCUUGUACCCCUAAUUCUACUGUCGGACACUUGUCUAUUUUUACCUCUCGUCUCACUUUUUCUUUUCUUUCGAGGUUCCGGGCACUUGCCCCUUUUAUUUCCUCGUAUUCACUUUUUUUUCAGAGCACUCAUUUCCUAAAAUAAUAUAGCAAGUGGUAGUAACCAAGAUAACUUGAGCAUUUAUUUCACAAGGGAAAAUAGAAAUGUUUUUGGCUAUUCUCUCCCUGAUUAGGAGUAGAAUAUUUUUGGGUGGUUCUCGAGAUGGAAAUGGAUAGAUAUAUGUGGAUGCGUACUUCCGGAGUAGAAGCAGCAAGUGUGAGUGAACGUGCAAGUGAAUCUUGAUUUAACCACAUGACAAGUUCCUAAGGGUCUACAUAGCUUGACCAUACUCAAUGCUCAUAAGCAGUAAAAAGUAAAUGUGUGGCUCAAAGUCUAGCAAGCAUGUAUAUAUGGUUGUGGUAGGAUUUUAAACUCUCAUCAUAUAGGAACUAAUCAUGCAAUAUUUUAAAGAUUUUCAAAGAUAAAAUUCUCCAGAAUUCUAGCAUCUCUAGGAACAGAUAAACAACAGCUCAACCAUCCCAUAUCGUAUCCGUUAACGACUUAAACUUUAGAUCAAGUAGUCUUCCCACAAGUUCAGGUUUAGAGCAAAUCUUAAUUCAUAACAGUCAUGCCUAAACUUGAGAGAGAUUUCAAUUUUGAGAACUAGUCAUGGCAGAGCAACUAUUCAUCAUUUCCAUGUGAGAGCUUAUCAUGAGGGUUCAUAUCAAACUUUGUUUAUUUAUUUAUUUAGCAAACUAAGCAAAGAUAUAUAUAUAAGCACAAAAUCUUUAUUUGGGUUUUUAUGAUUAUGCAUCUUUUUAUUAUUUGAGUAGAGUAUAAACGUGAGUAGAAACACUUAGCUAGAUAAAUGGGGGUGCUCUCCCCCAAGCUAGAUUUUGACGUAAUUUCUUCUGAUGUAGCUAGCAGGUGGCGGAGGUGUAUUUGAAUGUCGGCAGCACCCUGACAACAAUUUAGGAUGUCCUCCAUCUGCUAGUCUUCUUGAUCCUUGAAUUCUGUGGAGUUCAAAUAGACAACAAAGCUUUGUGGAACUAGUUAAGUGUUAGCAUAAAUAUCUAGCCUUUAUCAUGUUGAGCCUCGUCUAUAAAUGUUACUCUCUUUGGUAGCAUCAUAAAUUUAUUUUUAUAUUUUCAUUUUUAUAGAACUGGAAUAUUUUUAUUUUUAUGCCACCACAAUGAAUGUACUUAUGAGUUUUAUGCCACGAGCAUACUCACAUGGGGCUUACUGUUUUUUCACAUUUUUAAUUUCUUUUCAAGAUAGCAUGAUUAACUAACAAGCUAUUUAAGGAAAGUAAAUAAUUUAAGGAAAAAGGGCUUACUGUUUUUAAUAUUUUUAAUUUCUUUUCAAGAUAGCAUGAUUAACUAACAAGCUAUUUAAGGAAAGUAAAUAAUUUAAGGAAAAAGGGCUUACUGUUUUUAAUAUUUUUAAUUUCUUUUCAAGAUAGCAUGAUUAACUAACAAGCUAUUUAAGGAAAGUAAAUAAUUUAAGGAAAAAGGGAAUGUAGAAAGGAUAAAUAUGGAUAACUACCGAUUUUACCUUUCGGCGAGGGUUCAAUGUUUUAAGUCUUCUGAACAAGACUUCUCACCGUGUUCAUUCUUUAGGUCGGUCAUUUGAUUCAGGUGUGGACCUCGACGUCUGCACUUCUUGUUACGGUGUCACCCAUGUUCUUCGUUUGCCCAGGAGUUUGAAGUGCGGCGUUGGUAGCAUCCUGCUUAGUGUGUUUGUGCUCGUAGAUCGAGGUCCUUCACUUGGUGGAGUCUGGGCGUUGUAAAACUCCUCUAUGUUUUGCUCGAAGUGUACCUACUCAUAGAGACAAGGCAGAGAUCAAGUGCAUGGGCCCUGUUGGUGGAAAAAUCAAAAGAACCAAAAGUGUAUUUGUUCUUCUCUAACCUUAAGCAUAGUGAACAAGACAAAGUUGAUGGAUAAUAAGAUCAUGAGUGUAGCAUUUAAAACAUUUGUCAGAUCCGAUCGCUCAACCUAAUAGAAAGAUAAUCUAUCUAUAUUUAUGUUUUUUUAUAUAUAUCUUCCAAAGAUUGAGUGUGCAACAUUAUAGCUCAUAUGAUUAGGAGUAUGGGAUCACAAAGGUGGAAGGACUAA